GAGCAUGUGGUUUAAUUUCGAAGCUACGCGAAGAACCUUACCAGGUCUUGACAUCUUGCGCCAACCCUAGAGAUAGGGCGUUUCCUUCGGGAACGCAAUGACAGGUGGUGCAUGGUCGUCGUCAGCUCGUGUCGUGAGAUGUUGGGUUAAGUCCCGCAACGAGCGCAACCCUUGUUACUAGUUGCCAGCAUUAAGUUGGGCACUCUAGUGAGACUGCCGGUGACAAACCGGAGGAAGGUGGGGACGACGUCAGAUCAUCAUGCCCCUUAUGACCUGGGCUACACACGUGCUACAAUGGACGGUACAACGAGUCGCGAACUCGCGAGGGCAAGCAAAUCUCUUAAAACCGUUCUCAGUUCGGACUGCAGGCUGCAACUCGCCUGCACGAAGUCGGAAUCGCUAGUAAUCGCGGAUCAGCAUGCCGCGGUGAAUACGUUCCCGGGCCUUGUACA
rnacentral:rRNA from 2 species